UUAUUUCGAGGUCAAAUUAAUUGGUCACAAGUUGUCAAAUUCUAAUGUCACACUUAAACAAUUGGUCACGUAUAACUAAAUGGUUAGUCACAUACGUCAAUUUCUUGAUCACAAACAAUCAAAACACUUGUGACUACCACCACCAGCUGCAUCGCAGUUAAGACUCCAGGCGCCAAAACUAACAACACCUCGCCACCAACAAAACAAAUACAAAGUCAACACCCCACAAAAGCCAUCACUGCAAUGUCGUCACCACUUCACCAUCUCUAUCACCACAACAACCACCAUUUCCAACCAACACCCAUUCAGGUCAGCCCUGUCAUCUCAAACAUUGCAAAUAGCACUGCCUCACCGUCUCUACCCUCGUCGUGGCCGCCAGAUCCACCUCCCUCUCCACCACCAAAUCCACAUGCUACACUUCCAAGGUAGCUUCCAACUCUCAUUUCACCACCAUUGCUAGUGUCAACCACAAUAGUCGCCACUAGAUCCGCCACAUUCAAAACUAAACUAAAUCUGCCAUAAUACACUUAAGUUGCGACUACAGCAGCCGCCAUUACAUUGUCACCACAACUGCAGCGCGAGAUCCGAAACCACUAACCACUACAGCGCCAUCAUCUACAGCGUCGAGUGCGAGCAACUUGACGACGCUGAAGGUGCUCGAACUCAAUGAAG
rnacentral:lncRNA from 1 species